rnacentral:rRNA from 1 species
AACUUUCAACAACGGAUCUCUUGGUUCUGGCAUCGAUGAAGAACGCAGCGAAAUGCGAUAAGUAGUGUGAAUUGCAGAAUUCAGUGAAUCAUCGAAUUUUUGAACGCACAUUGCGCCCCUUGGUAUCCCGAGGGGCAUGCCUGUUCGAGCGUCAUUU